AGGAGGACGCCGAAGGUGGGGCUGAUGACUGGGGUGAAGUCGUAACAAGGUAGCCGUACCGGAAGGUGUGGCUGGAUCACCUCCUUACAAGGAGACCUACCCUCUUAUCGUGUUGAUAACACAGCAUAAAAAUGGUCAACUAGGUCGUUCGAAGCUUUCCACUCAACCUGUUUAGCCAGGUUGAAUUUCUACUGUGCUUCUAAACUAUCCCGGUUCAGGGAUGGGGGCUAUUAGCUCAGGUGGUUAGAGCGCACCCCUGAUAAGGGUGAGGUCCCUGGUUCGAGUCCAGGAUGGCCCACUCCACUUAUUUAUGAGUGCGACAAACACACGGGGGUUUAGCUCAGUUGGUAGAGCGCCUGCUUUGCAAGCAGGAUGUCAGCGGUUCGAGUCCGCUAACCUCCACUGAGUGACAUAACUCAACCCUGAGACAAGAAUUGGAAAACAACUCAGCAACUUAUCUACCAGUGCUGCUAGGAUAGAGAGCCUGCUGGAAUGUUUCCAGCUUUAAGAACCAAGAAAACUGCAUAGUGAAGAUGUCAGGUAGAAAUACACAGACACCAAUGUAAGUGGACAAGAACUGAUUGAAUUAAUUAGUGGUCAAGCUACAAAGGGCAGAUGGUGGAUACCUA
rnacentral:misc_RNA from 1 species